GCCGAGGUAGCUCAGGAGGCUAGAGCGCCAGACUCAUAAUCUGGAGGUCGGGGGUUCAAGUCCCCCCCUCGGCA
rnacentral:tRNA from 1 species